CAGCUGGGCAGCCAAAACUGAAACUAGCAGCUGGAGAGUGCAGCAUGCCCCGAAAUGCUCUGAAGAUAGUAAGCACCCUCGUAGUGCUAAUAUAGUAAUCACUUUUUUUACCAGCAGCUGGAUGGAGCAUAUGUGCAGUGUGCUCUCUUUGGAGAAGCUGUCUCUGUGAAUCACCGAGGUGCAGAACAAAAACAUCUGGCAUUCCCCUGUGAGGAAAGCUCAGAUAUGAAAGCUAAGGCAAGGAGCAGGAAGGGGGGCAUUCAUUGUCUCCAGUGGCUGCCUGCUGAGGAACCAUGAUGUGUGCUGAAGCCCUGCUUCUCAGGAGUAACCGACCGUCGCUCCUAAUGGGAAGUAGAGAAUAAAUCAUCUUAUCUUUCACUUUA